CCGAGAUUAUGGAAUUAAACCAAUAAAUAAAAGCAAGGAUAAUUGUGUGUUAUUGCUUCCGGUCUUCCACGACCCGACCGGAGAAAAAGACGUGUUUGUGAACACGAAAUGCUAUGAGACUGGGUUGGCGGUAGCUGAGCGUGGACAGAACACCUCCAGAAGAACCAGCAUUUCAAUUAUUAUACUACAAGUGAAAAUAUAUUGUGGAUCAUUGAGACAGCGUGGCGUCCAGAGUCUUAUCCCGUUUUCCCACUUCCUCUGAGGGGACAGCACGGAGCCCCCCUCCGCAUGAAGACAUCCGCACCAAACAUUGCGUAGGCUACCGGCGAGGAAAGUGCGUACAUCACUUCCUACGCCGGUUUCCCUUUAUAAAUCACAAUCGACUCGAAAUGCGGCGCAGCUUUUGCGGGCUUC